CGUAGGGUGCAAGCGUUGUCCGGAAUUAUUGGGCGUAAAGAGCUCGUAGGCGGUCUGUCGCGUCGGCUGUGAAAACCCGGGGCUCAACCCCGGGCCUGCAGUCGAUACGGGCAGACUAGAGUGCGGUAGGGGAGACUGGAAUUCCUGGUGUAGCGGUGAAAUGCGCAGAUAUCAGGAGGAACACCGGUGGCGAAGGCGGGUCUCUGGGCCGUAACUGACGCUGAGGAGCGAAAGCGUGGGGAGCGAACAGGAUUAGAUACCCUGGUAGUCCACGCCGUAAACGUUGGGCGCUAGGUGUCGGGGACCUUCCACGUCCUCGGUGCCGCAGCUAACGCAUUAAGCGCCCCGCCUGGGGAGUACGGCCGCAAGGCUA
rnacentral:rRNA from 1 species